rfam:Paenibacillus wynnii strain DSM 18334 unitig_2, whole genome shotgun sequence.
AAACUAAAGUUAUGAACAGCUCGUAUAAAACCGGGGAUAUGGCCCGGAAGUUUCUACCCGGGAACCUUAAAUUACCGGACUACGAGGAAAUAGGAUGAUAGA